GACGAACGCUGGCGGCGUGCCUAAUACAUGCAAGUAGAACGCAGUUGCGAACGGGUGAGUAACGCGUCUGUAACUUCCUCAUAGCGGGGGCUAACUAUUGGAAACGAUAGCUAAUACCGCAUACUGUGAGAUGGACCUGCGUUGUAUUGGCUAGUUGGUGAGGUAAAGGCUCACCAGGGCGACGAUACAUAGCCGACCUGAGAGGUUGAUCGGCCAAAAUGUGACUUGGACACGGCCCCUACUCCUACGGGAGGCAGCAGUAGGGAAUCUUCGGAAAUGGACGGAAGUCUGAACGAGCAACGCCGCGUGAGUUAAGAAGGUUUUCGGAUCGUAAAGCUCUGUUGUUAGAGAAGCGGUAACUAACGAGAAAGGGACGGCUAACUACGUGCCAGCAGCCGCGGUAAUUC
rnacentral:rRNA from 1 species